UACGUAGGUGGCAAGCGUUGUCCGGAUUUACUGGGCGUAAAGCGUGCGCAGGCGGUUUGGUCAGUCGCUGGUGAAAGCCCCACGCUCAACGUGGGAAUGGCCAACGAGACGGCCCGACUGGAGGCAGGGAGAGGCCGGUGGAAUUCCGGGUGUAGUGGUGAAAUGCGUAGAGAUCCGGAGGAACACCAGAGGCGAAGGCGGCCGGCUGGACCUGACCUGACGCUGAGGCACGAAGGCGUGGGGAGCGAACGGG
rnacentral:rRNA from 1 species